GUAGCCCCUGUGAUGAUGACACCAGCAAUUACCCCAGUUGUAGCUCCACCUGUUUUGACACCAGAAGUAAAUAAAGCAAUGUUGCAGGUAGUUGAAGAGGAGAAAAAGGAAGCAAAGUCGGAGGCUUCACUUGUGUCUAAAAAUAUUGAACCACCAUUUGUGGUUGCGGAAGAAGUAAAGACAUCAGUUUUAACUGAAGAGUGUGCGUCAGAUGAAGAAAAUAGGAAAGCUUCCUUGCAACAUAUGCCUGUGGUUACUUCAACAGAACCUCAGUCAGAGAUAGAGGAGGAUGUGUGGGAGGAUGCUGUAGAUAAUAUUGGAGAUUCCCCGUGUCAGGUGACAUACACAGAGGGUGCACCCCAAGAUACUGCUGCUAAACAGGCAUCUGAUGCUGCAAUUAAUAGUGCAAGCUAAACCAGUUGAAAGAUUUGAAUGAGUUGGUGCAAGUUUAACGAGCAAAAUUCAGAACAUUUUAUAUCGGGAAGAGGCUGUGGGCUCACAACAAAGAAAUGACCAAACCACUGAGAAGUAAAAUUGGAUCAUUAAAGUUCCAUUAAGCAAAAUUAAAACCAAAAACUGUAGUUAUUCAGUGGACAGGCUGUUCUUUGACCAAUCACUACAUUUUUACAUUUUAUUUUGAUUCAGAAAAUAUUUCAACAUAUAUAACCCUUCAAAAUCAGUUAUUUUGUCAUAUUUUUACUAAGGAUAUUUGUCAAUGUAUUAAUUUUUUUAUCCUGAUUCAGAAAUUAGCGUAAUCUUAUGCCAAAUUAUAUCAUGUUGUAUUACAGAUCUAAACAAAAUGUUUUGUUAAAAUGUAAAACAUUUGUACACAUGCAUUAUAUCCUGACCGUUUGCCAUGUUUAGCGUAAGGAAAUAAUUGUCAUUGUGGAAGGAUGUAGGCUACAAUGCCUGGUAUUUAAAGAUAUGUACUAAAUCAAAGGUAAUUUUGUUUUGUACCAUCAUAUUCCUCUACAUAUGAUAUAAAUCUAGAAGGAAUUUAUUUUAUACUCUAAAUAGGGUGUACACGUUACCAAAGCUAUAAUGAGCAAAUUUCCAUCAAAAGAAAGUUUUAGACAGUAUUCAGUCAAAUCUAUGCACUUAAUGACUAAAAAUAACAGAUUGUUUUAAUUUGUUUUACAAAGAAGAAUCUAAAUCUUAUCAAAGUCAUGAUUUAUUUUGUUGCUGUAUGUCAUUGUUCCAAAUUAUUUUUGUAAUUUGCUAUUUUAAUUUACAAAAACACCUAAUUUCAGAAAAUAUUUGACAAGUUUUGCAUAAAAACUGAAGCAUGCAAACUAAUGUUGGAAUUACUGGCUUUUCCCCAUGUGUGUUUUUCGCCCCCAGAGAAGCACUUUAUAUAUAUAUAAAUGUUAUGUGUAAUGAUCAAUACGCUUUGUAGUACUGCAUAUUAUCAUUAAACAAUUUAGCAUUUUUGUUAAUAUUAUACAAUUUGCAUUGCCUGUUUUAGGGGCAUUUGCAUCUGGCCUGAUAAAAUAAGCCAUUACAGUAUUGAAAUCAAAAAUUGUAACUUAUUCUAAUAUAAUGCUAAGAAGUGUUUGAAACCAUCUGGACAAACUGGUUUAUAGAGUCUAUGCAUCUUCGAAGAAAUUGCAAUAUUAACAAUCAAUUAAAUACAAGAGUGUUGUAUUGUUCCUGGAUUUUGAGACAUUUAAAAAUGUAUGGUUUAAUACAAAUUAUAAUUUCAGGUUUUAUUUAAAUAAAAGAAACUACCAAUAUUUGCCUUAUGAUUUAUGAAAAGUUGAUGUACUGCACACCAAUACCAUUGUUAUUUCACUUGGAAAAAUGAAUGAAAGACAAAGUGAUAAAACGCUGGUUUAUUUUUUACUUUGUGCAAUGUAGGAUACUUUAAAGAGGCAACUCAGAAAUGUUUCUGAUGCAAACAUUAAAUAUAGUUUUUGCAUUUUAGUAGUUUCAAAUAUAUUUACAAAAGACCUUUCAAUAGAAAAUAAAAAUGAAAAUAAUGCAGUGGACCUUAAAAAA